rnacentral:lncRNA from 1 species
CUUGCUAGUGAGAUGGAGUUGCACAAUCAUCAGCCUCACUCUUCCAGAGUCAUCAAAGUUCAGUACCAAGACAAAAUUCAGAAUGACCUCAAUGUAGUGAGGUCCAAUGACCACACAAUGAGGCCAGUGACCAGGAUGUAGUGGAUGACCCUGGCAUUUUCAAUGCCUGCCAAGCUCUAAGUACUCCACAAUGUUUGCUUCAGUCAUCUUCAUGACUGUUGGAACAAACUGUUCUCAUCUGCCCAUUUCACAGUGGGGAAGUCUUCGCAUGCUGGGGGUAGACAUCUCUGUUACUCACCAAUUGGUUUGAGAUCUGUUGUCCAUAAUCAACCUGGUUUAGAUGGUUUUAACAAAAUGGAGCUGCCAUUCAUUCUAUCACUUCUCAGAGCCACAGAGUGAUGUGUAUCCAUUUAAAAGAGAAUCACCUACUCUAGGGAAGCUACAAAGAAAUGAUUGCCACUGGUCCAGAGAAGUUCCAAUCUUCCUAUAUGUUUUUCUGCAGGAUAGUCACACAGCAGAAUUGGACAAAGGCUAAUUCUGCAAGGGCACAAAUACCUAUGCCAAGUACCUUUGAAAUAUGUAUGAGUUCUUCCAUGGGCAAGAAUACAAAUAUUAUCUAACCCUACAAGGUACAUUUUUUACACCUCCCCCAGCAAUUAGUUACCACCAAAUUGG